UCUAGAUUUGUUAUAAAUACUUGUGAACAGUCAGUCCGUUCACUGUCACUCAAAAUGAAGUAUUCAAUGAGAAUUUACUGCAUUUGUUCUGUUAUUUGCACAAGACGUAUAUUGAUAAAAUAGGACAUAUUUUUAUAUGUCUUCUGUUUCACGCUGUCUCAUUCUUUAUCGAGAGUAAUUCUUCGUGAUGUUACGAUGUUGUCUGUUGCCAUCACGUCAACCAUUGAACCAGUACUUGU
rnacentral:misc_RNA from 1 species